rnacentral:rRNA from 1 species
UACGUAGGGGGCAAGCGUUGUCCGGAAUUAUUGGGCGUAAAGCGCGCGCAGGCGGUCAUUUAAGUUUGGGGUUUAAGCCCGGGGCUCAACCUCGGAUCGCCCCGAAAACUGGGUGACUGGAGUGCAGGAGAGGAAAGUGGAAUUCCACGUGUAGCGGUGAAAUGCGUAGAGAUGUGGAGGAACACCAGUGGCGAAGGCGACUUUCUGGCCUGUAACUGACGCUGAGGCGCGAAAGCGUGGGGAGCAAACAGG